GACCCGGUAGCUCAGUUGGUAGAGCACCAGCCUUUUAAGCUGAGGGUCGUGGGUUCGAUCCCCACCCGGGUCA
rnacentral:tRNA from 1 species